GGUGUCAUGGUCGAGUGGUUUAAGCACUUGACUUGAAAUUCAAAAGUCGUAGGUUCAAUCCCAACAUGGCACUA
rnacentral:tRNA from 1 species